rnacentral:rRNA from 1 species
CCCAGACUCCUACGGGAGGCAGCAGUGGGGGAUAUUGCACAAUGGGGGGAACCCUGAUGCAGCGACGCCGCGUGGGUGAAGGAGCGUUUCGGCGCGUAAAGCCCUAUCGGCAGGGAAGAAGGAGGACGGUACCUGACUAAGAAGCCCCGGCUAACUACGUGCCAGCAGCCGCGGUAAUACGUAGGGGGCAAGCGUUAUCCGGAUUUACUGGGUGUAAAGGGGGCGCAGACGGCAGCGCAAGCCAGGAGUGAAAGCCCGGGGCCCAACCCCGGGACUGCUCUUGGAACUGCGCGGCUGGAGUGCAGGAGGGGCAGGCGGAAUUCCUGGUGUAGCGGUGAAAUGCGUAGAUAUCAGGAGGAACACCGGUGGCGAAGGCGGCCUGCUGGACUGCGACUGACGUUGAGGCCCGAAAGCGUGGGGAGCAAACAGGAUUAGAUACCCCCGUAACC